rnacentral:rRNA from 1 species
AUGUGUUUUGUUAAGGGCGCAUGGUGGAUGCCUUGGCAUGCUGAGCCGAUGAAGGACGUGUCUGGCUGCGUUAAUCCUUGGGGAGUUGCCGUGUAAGCGUUGAUCCGAGGGUGUCCGAAUGGGGAAACCUAGCACCGGUUGUGUGGUGUUACCUGCAAGUGAAUUCAUAGCUUGUGUGGGGGUGACGUAGGGAAGUGAAACAUCUCAGUACCUACAGGAGAAGAAAACAAUUGUGAUUCCGUGUGUAGUGGCGAGCGAUAGCGGAUGAGGCUAAACCGUGUGCGUGUGAUACCUGGCAGGGGUUGCGUGUGCGGGGUUGUGGGGUGUGAUUGUCACUUACUGCCAUAAGUGGGUGUGCGUGGUGUGGUUAAGCGGAAUCGUUUGGGAUGACGAACUGGAAAAGGUGAUCAGUCCUGUACGUGAUGGCCAUGCUGCGUGUGCUGGUUGUAUCCCCGAGUAGCAGCGGGCUCGUGGAAUCUGCUGUGAAUCUGCCGGGACCACCCGGUAAGCCUAAAUACUCAGUGUGACCGAUAGCGGAUGAGUACCGUGAGGGAAUGGUGAAAAGUACCCCGGGAGGGGAGUGAAAGAGUUCCUGAAACUGUGUGUCUACAAUCCGUCAGAGCACCUCUUUGUGUGUGAUGGCGUGCCUUUUGAAGAAUGAGCCUGCGAGUUAGCGGCAUGUCGCGAGGUUAACCCGUGUGGGGUAGCCGUAGGGAAACCGAGUCCAUGAGGCGUGUUAGUGGCGUGUUCUAGACCCGAAGCGGGGUGAUCUACCCAUGGCCAGUGUGAAGCAGCUGUAAGAGGUUGUGGAGGCGCGAACCCACGUAGGUUGAAAACUGCGGGGAUGAGUUGUGGGUAGGGGUGAAAGGCCAAUCAAACUCCGUGAUAGCUGGUUCUCCCCGAAAUGUAUUUAGGUACAGCGUCGCAUGGAGCAUGCCGGAGGUAGAGCUACUGGUUGGUUGAGCGGGACUAUCAUCUUAGCAAUGUCAGCCAAACUCCGAAUGCCGGUUAUGUGUGUGCGGCAGUGAGACUGUGGGGGAUAAGCUUCAUAGUCGAAAGGGAAACAGCCCAGAUCGCCGGUUAAGGCCCCUAAGGGUGUACUAAGUGGAAAAGGAUGUGUAAUCGCGAUGACAGCCAGGAGGUUGGCUUAGAAGCAGCCACCCUUGAAAGAGUGCGUAAUAGCUCACUGGUCGAGUGGUUGCGCGCCGACAAUUCAGUGGGGCUGAAGUACACCGCCGAAGCCGCGGCAAGUCGUAUGACUUGGGUAGGGGAGCGUCGUGUGUGGGGUGAAGCAGUAUCGUAAGGGGCUGUGGACUGCAUACGAGUGAGAAUGCAGGCAUGAGUAACGAAUGAUACGUGAGAAUCGUAUCCGCUGGAUGACUAAGGGUUCCUGGGUCAAGUUCGUCUUCCCAGGGUGAGUCGGGUCCUAAGGCGAGGCCGACAGGCGUAGUCGAUGGUCAACGGGUUGAUAUUCCCGUACCCGUACCACACCGCAAGGAUUGAAUCAGUGAUACUAACCACCCUGACCAUCUGCCAUGGUGCUCUUUGAGUACCAGGUGGGUGUGAUGCGUGGGGCCUGAACUGGUAGUAGGUCAGUGAUGGGGUGACACAGGUUGGUAGCACCGCCCCUUAGUGGAUUGGGGUGCAAGCGUGUGGCAUAUCGGUGAGGUAAAUCCCGCCGUGUAUAUAUGUGAGGCGUGAUGCGGAAGGCGAAAGGGCCUUUAAAGGGUGUGAUCCUGUACUGUCGAGAAAAGCCUCUAGCGAUGGGGUGGUACGGCCCGUACCCGAAACCGACACAGGUAGUCAGGUAGAGAAUACUCAAGCGGUCGGGUGAACUGUGGUUAAGGAACUCGGCAAAUUACCCCCGUAACUUCGGGAGAAGGGGGGCCAUAUCUGGUGAUCUGAACAUGCGUUGGUGAGCUGGAUGUGGCCGCAGAAAACAGAGGGGAGCGACUGUUUAUCAAAAACACAGGUCCGUGCGAAGACGUUGAAGUUGAUGUAUACGGACUGACGCCUGCCCGGUGCUGGAAGGUUAAGAGGACCUGUUAGGUAGUUUUACCGAAGCGGAGAAUUUAAGCCCCAGUAAACGGCGGUGGUAACUAUAACCAUCCUAAGGUAGCGAAAUUCCUUGUCGGGUAAGUUCCGACCUGCACGAAUGGCGUAACGACUCCCCUGCUGUCUCAACCACAGGCCCGGUGAAAUUGCACUACGAGUAAAGAUGCUCGUUUCGCGCGGCAGGACGAAAAGACCCCGGGACCUUCACUAUAGCUUGGUAUUGGUGUUUACUGCGGUUUGUGUAGCAUAGGUGGGAGACUAUGAAACGCUCACGCCAGUGGGUGUGGAGUCACAAUGUGAAAUACCACUCUGACCGUAGUGGAUGUCUUAACCUUGGCCCAUGAUCUGGGUUGGGGACAGUGCCUGGUGGGUAGUUUAACUGGGGCGGUUGCCUCCCAAAAUGUAACGGAGGCGCCCAAAGGUUCCCUCAGCCUGGUUGGCAAUCAGGUGUUUAGAGUGUAAGUGCACAAGGGAGCUUGACUGCGAGACCUACAAGUCGAGCAGGGACGAAAGUCGGGACUAGUGAUCCGGCACCUACUUGUGGAUGUGGUGUCGCUCAACGGAUAAAAGGUACCCCGGGGAUAACAGGCUGAUCUUCCCCAAGAGUCCAUAUCGACGGGAUGGUUUGGCACCUCGAUGUCGGCUCGUCGCAUCCUGGGGCUGGAGUAGGUCCCAAGGGUUGGGCUGUUCGCCCAUUAAAGCGGCACGCGAGCUGGGUUCAGAACGUCGUGAGACAGUUCGGUCUCUAUCCGCCGCGCGCGUUGAAACUUGAGAAAAGCUGUCCCUAGUACGAGAGGACCGGGACGGACGUACCUCUAGUGUGCCAGUUGUUCCGCCAGGAGCACAGCUGGUUGGCUACGUACGGAAGGGAUAACCGCUGAAAGCAUCUAAGCGGGAAGCCUGUUUCAAGAUGAGGUUUCAUUAAGGUGCCCAGAAGACUACUGGGUUGAUAGGCCAGAGCUGGACACACCGCAAUGUGUGAAGGCGACUGGUACUAAUACACCAAAAAACACAAAC